CACGUAGGGCGCAAGCGUUGUCCGGAAUUAUUGGGCGUAAAGAGCUCGUAGGCGGUCUGUUACGUCUGCUGUGAAAACCCGGGGCUUAACCCUGGGCUUGCAGUGGAUACGGGCAGACUAGAGGCAGGUAGGGGAGAAUGGAAUUCCUGGUGUAGCGGUGAAAUGCGCAGAUAUCAGGAAGAACACCCGUGGCGAAGGCGGCUCUCUGGAACGCAACUGACGCUGAGACGCGAAAGCGUGGGGAGCAAACAGG
rnacentral:rRNA from 1 species